rnacentral:tRNA from 1 species
GGGAGUAUAGCUCAGUGAUAGAGCCCUUGCCCAGCCUGGGAGGCCCUGGGUUCAAUUCCCAGUACCA